GAGAGACUAGCUCAGUUGGUAGAGCGUGAGAUUUUUAAUCUCAGGGUCGUGGGUUCAAAUCCCACAUGGGGCA